rnacentral:rRNA from 1 species
GGGAACGACUCCGAAGAAUAAGCAUGGGAUUCAGCUUAUAUUUCCAAGGAAAGCAGCAGGCGCGCAAAUUACCCAAUGCCCAACGGGCGAGGUAGUGACAAGAAAUAUCGAUACGUGACUUUUCAGUCAUGUAAUCGAAAUGAGUACAAUCUAAACACCUUAACGAGGAGCUACUGGAGGGAAAGUCUGGUGCCAGCAGCCGCGGUAAUUCCAGCUCCAGAAGCGUAUACAAAAGUUGCUGCAGUUAAAAAGCUCGUAGCCGGAGUUCGGCGUUACUUCAGGGUUCCCCAGUGUUACUGGGGUUACCCUUAGGGUUGCGCUUAUGCACGCGGAACCACGGGACCCUUUAUUGGGAUUCGCGGGAAAACGUGCCGUUUACCAUGAGUAAAUGGGAGUGUUCAAAGCAGGCGUUAGCCUGAACUUUUCAGCAUGGGAUAAUAGAAUAAGACUGCGUCUUAUUUCGUUGGUUUGCAAGAUAGCAGUAAUGAUUAAUAGGGGCGCUCGGGGGCAUCGGUAUUUCUUGGGAAGUGGUGAAAUGCGUAGAUCCAAGAAGGACCACCGGAAGCGAAAGCGUUUGUCAAGGGCGUUCCCAUUGGUCAAGAACGAAAGCUGGAGGAUGGAAGGAGAUUAGACACCUCUGUACUUCCAGCCGUAAACGAUUCGGACUCGGGAUCGGUGAGCGAGUCUUUUUCCCCAUCGGUAUCGUAAGAGAAAUCAAAGUUUUUGCGUUCUGGGGGGAGUAUGGUCGCAAGGCUGAAACUUAAAGGAAUUGACGGAAGAACACACAAGAAGUGGAUACUGCGGUUCAAUUUGACACAACACGGGGAACCUCACGCGUCCAAGACACAGGUAGGAUUGACAGAUUGAAAGCUCUUUCUUGAUUCUGUGGCGAGUGGUGCAUGGCCGUUCUUAGUUCGUGGAGUGAUUUGUCUGCUUGAUUGCGAUAACGAACGAGACCUCCGCCUGCUAAAUAGCGCAGUGAAUCUUGAAUUCAUUGACGCUUCUUAGAGGGACAACCAUUGCAAGAUGGGGGAAGCUGGAGGCAAUAACAGGUCUGUUAUGCCCUUAGAUGGAUGCGGCCACACGCGUUAUACAUUGAAGGAGUGAAUGAGUAGAACCUGACUCGGAAGGGUUGGGUAAUCUUGGAAACUUCUUCGUACUGGGGAUUGCUGCUUGAAAUUUUUCAGCAUGAACGAGUAAUUCCUAGUAACUGUACGUCAUCAACGUACGGUGAUUACGUCCCUGUUCUUUGUACACACCGCCCGUCGCUCGAUCCGAUUGGAUGUAAUGUCGAGUUUGACGGACGCGGCAGGACCUUGUGUCCAGCUGCGGAAGUUGCGCAAGAUUUUGCAUCUAGAGGAACGAGAAGUCGUAACAAGGUA